rnacentral:misc_RNA from 1 species
ACCGUGUGAACUUACCACUGUUGCCUCGGUGGAUGGUGCUGUCUCUCGGGACGGUGCCACCGCCGGUGGACUACCUAAACUCUGUUAAUUUUUGUCAAUCUGAAUCAAACUAAGAAAUAAGUUAAAACUUUCAACAACGGAUCUCUUGGUUCUGGCAUCGAUGAAGAACGCAGCGAAAUGCGAUAAGUAAUGUGAAUUGCAGAAUUCAGUGAAUCAUCGAAUCUUUGAACGCACAUUGCGCCCAUUAGUAUUCUAGUGGGCAUGCCUGUUCGAGCGUCAUUUCAACCCUUAAGCCUAGCUUAGUGUUGGGAGACUGCCUAAUACGCAGCUCCUCAAAACCAGUGGCGGAGUCGGUUCGUGCUCUGAGCGUAGUAAUUUUUUAUCUCGCUUCUGCAAGCCGGACUGGCAACAGCCAUAAACCGCACCCUUCGGGGGCACUUUUUAAUGGUUGACCUCGGAUCAGGUAGGAAUACCCGCUGAACUUAAGCAUAUCAUUAAAGCCGGAGGAA